UACGUAGGGGGCAAGCGUUGUCCGGAAUCAUUGGGCGUAAAGCGCGCGUAGGCGGCCCGGUAAGUCCGCUCUGAAAGUCCAGGGCUCAACCCUGGAAAGCGGGUGGAUACUGCCGGGCUAGAAUCCGGAAGAGGCGAGUGGAAUUCCUGGUGUAGCGGUGGAAUGCGCAGAUAUCAGGAGGAACACCAGUGGCGAAGGCGACUGACUGGACAUGUAUUGACGCUGAGGUGCGAAAGCGUGGAGAGCAAACAGG
rnacentral:rRNA from 1 species